UAGUGGCGGACGGGUGAGUAACGCGUGAGAAUCUGCUCUAGGUCGGGGACAACAACUGGAAACGAUUGCUAAUACCCGAUGUGCAGCAAUGUGAAAGAUUUAUUGCCUAGAGAUGAGCUCGCGUCUGAUUAGCUAGUAGGUGUGGUAAUGGCGCACCUAGGCGACGAUCAGUAACUGGUCUGAGAGGAUGACCCAGUCACACUGGGACUGAGACACGGCCCAGACUCCUACGGGAGGCAGCAGUGGGGAAUUUUCCGCAAUGGGCGAAAGCCUGACGGAGCAAUACCGCGUGAGGGACGAAAGCUCUUGGGUCGUAAACCUCUUUUCCC
rnacentral:rRNA from 1 species